AUACCUUUCUCGGCCUUUUGGCUAAGAUCAAGUGUAGUAUAUGUUCUUAUCAGUUUAAUAUCUGAUAUGUGGUCCCGGGUUACAUGAUAUUAACUCUAUUUUUUUAGGAAGAAGAUCUAUUAUGCUAGCUUGCUAUCUGGACUUUCACGAGUCCCACAUGCGUUGCAAUACUGCACGGGCAUGGCUCAUCCCAC